rnacentral:tRNA from 1 species
GGCGGGGUGGAGCAGUCCGGUAGCUCGUCGGGCUCAUAACCCGGAGGUCGCAAGUUCAAAUCUUGCCCCCGCACCCA